rnacentral:rRNA from 1 species
GUCUAUGGCCAUGCCACCCUGGCCCAAUCUCAGCUGAUCUCAGAAGCUAAGCAGGGCCAGGCCUGGUUAGUACUUGGAAGGAAGAAGGACUAGGGUGAUGGCUC